GGGGAUGUAGCUCAGUGGUAGAGUGCUUGCCUAGCUAGAUGUAUGGGGCCUUGGGUUCAAUCCUCAGUACCACCA
rnacentral:tRNA from 1 species